rnacentral:pre_miRNA from 1 species
AGGAGGAACAGCCCCAGUGGCGGGGCAGCUCUGGAAACCUGGAUUCAGCUCCGGCAGGAACUCCGGAGCUCUCCGUCUGCAGGGCCUGGAUGCCCCGGGCGGGG